rnacentral:rRNA from 1 species
UGAGGAAUAUUGGGCAAUACCCGAAAGGGUGACCCAGCAACGCCGCGUGGAGGAUGAAGGUCGUAAGAUUGUAAACUCCUGUUAGAGGGGAAGAAUAACUAAGUUUGGAGCUUAGUAUGACUGUACCCUCAGAGAAAGCCCCGGCUAACUACGUGCCAGCAGCCGCGGUAAUACGUAGGGGGCAAGCGUUGUCCGGAUUUACUGGGUGUAAAGGGCGCGCAGGCGGAAUAGAAAGUCAGUGGUGAAAUCCUACAGCUUAACUGUAGAACUGCCUUUGAUACUUUCAUUCUUGAGUUCGGGAGAGAGAGACGGAAUUCCAGGUGUAGUGGUGAAAUACGUAGAUAUCUGGAAGAACACCAGUUGCGAAGGCGGUCUCUUGGUCCGAUACUGACGCUGAGGCGCGAAAGCGUGGGGAGCAAACA